rnacentral:rRNA from 1 species
AACGAACGCUGGCGGCAGGCCUAACACAUGCAAGUCGAGCGAGGACUUCGGUCCUAGCGGCGGACGGGUGAGUAACGCGUGGGAACGUGCCCUUUGCUUCGGAAUAGCCCUGGGAAACUGGGAGUAAUACCGGAUGAGCCCUUUGGGGGAAAGAUUUAUCGGCGAAGGAUCGGCCCGCGUUGGAUUAGGUAGUUGGUGGGGUAAUGGCCUACCAAGCCGACGAUCCAUAGCUGGUUUGAGAGGAUGAUCAGCCACACUGGGACUGAGACACGGCCCAGACUCCUACGGGAGGCAGCAGUGGGGAAUCUUAGACAAUGGGGGAAAACCUGAUCUAGCCAUGCCGCGUGAGAGAUGAAGGCCUUAGGGUUGUAAAGCUCUUUCAGCUGGGAAGAUAAUGACGGUACCAGCAGAAGAAGCCCCGGCUAACUCCGUG